AUUGAACGCUGGCGGCAUGCCUUACACAUGCAAGUCGAACGGCAGCACGGGUGCUUGCACCUGGUGGCGAGUGGCGAACGGGUGAGUAAUAUAUCGGAACGUACCUUAUCGUGGGGGAUAACGCAGCGAAAGCUGCGCUAAUACCGCAUACGCCCUGAGGGGGAAAGCGGGGGACCGUAAGGCCUCGCGCGAUUAGAGCGGCCGAUAUCUGAUUAGCUUGUUGGUAGGGUAAAAGCCUACCAAGCCGACGAUCUGUAGCUGGUCUGAGAGGACGAUCAGCCGGAUUGGGACUGAGAUACGGCCCAGACUCCUACGGGGGGCAGCAAUUAGGAAUCUUGCGCAAUGGGGGCAACCCUGACGCAGCGACGUCGCGUGAAGGAUGAAGGCCCUCGGGUCGUAAACUUCUUUUGAGUGGGAAGAAAUUUGACGGUACCACUCGAAUAAGCCCCGGCUAACUACGUG
rnacentral:rRNA from 1 species